CCAAUAGCGUAUAUUAAAGUUGUUGCAGUUAAAAAGCUCGUAGUUGAAUUUCAGGCCUGGCUGGACGGUCCGCCCUUCGGGUGAGUACUGUCUGUGGUCGGGUCCUACCUUCUGGCGAAGCGUCAUGGCCUUAACCGGCCGUGGCGGGGAACCAGGACUUUUACUGUGAAAAAAUUAGAGUGUUCAAAGCAGGCAAUCGCUUGGAUACAUUAGCAUGGAAUAAUGGAAUAGGACAAUGGUUCUAUUUGUUGGUUUCUAGGACCGUUGUAAUGAUUAAUAGGGAUAGUUGGGGGCAUUAGUAUUCAAUUGUCAGAGGUGAAAUUCUUGGAUUUAUUGAAGACUAACUACUGCGAAAGCAUUUGCCAAGGAUGUUUUCAUUAAUCAAGAACGAAAGUUAGGGGAUCGAAGACGAUCAGAUACCGUCGUAGUCUUAACCAUAAACUAUGCCGACUAGGGAUCGGAUGAUGUUAAUUUUAUAAUGACUCAUUCGGCGCCUUACG
rnacentral:rRNA from 2 species